CGCAAAACACUUGUCGGGGGCGCGCCGAACUGGCGGUAGAGACGCCGAUGGUGGCGGUGGCGCCGGCUGCUCGGCUGGCAGCGGCGCCGGAGGCGACCGAGAUCGAUCGAGGCGGGCAGAGCAGCCUUCACUUUUUCAGAUGAAGGAACCCUAACCUACUCGGAAGAUAUCCCUCUCAGUUGUAGGCUGAGGUAUGAAAAAGAACCGUCAACCACCACGCACACCACCUGUUCGACGAAACGUUCACGAGGACGGCUGAUGCGUUGGACCGGUCGACAAGGGCACCGGUUCAGCCGCCGGCCGCCGCGAGGUGCGUGCCGAUCCGUCCCUGAGGCAGCUGCACCUGGAGGGCAUGCAGCCGUGCUCUGCAUGCGGACUGACAUGUUACCGCGGAGAUGACGCGGGCCGGCGGAUGGACGUGUAUCUCGGAGCCGACAGAUCAAUCUAGGAUGGAUCGAGAUCCAGACACUCCUGUUGGAAACCACAGCAUAGGAUGGUGAGCCCAGUUGAAGGGCAGCUGGACAUGCAGAAUCCAAGAGCCAAAAAGAUUCGUGGCCUGGUACCCCUUAGCACGCAGGUUCGACGAAGCUGCGACCUGCCCAACCAGCAAGUAAACAAAUGGAGGGCCAUUUGCAAAGUAUAGGUACAUGUCCGACAUAUAUGACAUUGUUAUUGCCAACUAACUAUGUUCAAACUUUUAUUGCCAAUUAACCAGGACUGGUGGCUAAUGGAUGUCUUGAGACAACUGCGUCUACCAUGCACACACAUACAUGUCCAUCAGCAAAACCGAGAACGAGAAGGUAUUUAGUGCCACUGGAUUUUCUGUAACCAUGUGCACAUGCAAGACCAUGCGCAAGACCAUUCUUUGGAAGCUUCAUGCACAAAAAUAGGGAGGCGCCCAAGCAACGUGAAGCUGCUCCACAUAAGUGGGAGUUUUUUCUUGUCGGCAAAUGCGAAGUGACAUUGUUUGCCAGGUUGCCACCAAUCCAAUUUACAAUCACGGCCUAAUUAUCUUUCUGACUUGUCUGGCCCCCACUGCGCCACUGCCUCUUCUGGUGGCCGUGUCUCUGCCCUUUCGGCUAUAAAAGUAGACUCGGCCUCGUUCCCCUCUUUGCACCAGCACUGCUCUGUGUUCCUCUUCCCCCUUCUAGGGUUAGAAGUCAUGAGGGUUCAAGCUAUGCUGUGCAGAAGUGAGCUCAGUGCUAUGGCAUGGAAUUAAAGAUCUGAUCUAUACACCCAGGUUUUGCAUGGGAGGGCAGCAAGCUAGAGGCGGCAACUGCAUAACUUGCGACAAACUUGUAAGAUUUCUUGAGAAGCUCUAAAAAAAUAAAACAUUGUCAAUUACCAUGACAAUUUUUCAGAGUAAUUAGACACAUAUAUAUUUUAUCAUCUCUUCUUGGCCUAUUUACCUUAACAGGUCUGUACUGUCAACUAGGGCAGGAGACCAAACUGUCAUUUGCAGAAAGGUUUUUAAGUAAAAGUAAAACAUCGUUUUGACAACAAUUUGUCGUCCAUGAUUGUGCCCCUUUCUAAGACAUUAUUUUGUCACUUAAGUUUUCAAAAUUCUUGAGCAUUGGCAUUUGCUCAAUUGCUCUCUAUGAUAUCCUUGAGGAAUAGGAGUGCAUUACUAAAUAUUGACUAAAGAAGCUAUGCAUACUAAAACAAUGUGCUGCUGAAAAAUAGCCAUAGAUUUGGAUCUCAUAUGUGAUGGAAAUUGUUGUGAGACCUCGACAUGUACAUGAACCUCAUAUAUGAUGCAUAAAUGUUAUGAUAGGAUGAAUUCCUAUAUGAUAUGAUAUGAUAUGCAAUAGAGAGAAUCAGUUAUGAUGAACUUACAUUGAUAUGGAGCUUCUCUAAUAUGGUGACGGUCUUGGUAAAUGAUUCAUACCAUGUUAGAAUUCAGCAUCCAUGCUCUGAAGUACUAAUGUUACUUGCGCCAAAGUACUUCAUUAAUAUUUCAUACUGAAGCAACUAUAGCUGUACAUAACGUUAAUGAUCCCGUAUACAUAUAUGCUCAUGCUCAUGAACUCCCAUGGGUUAGCCAAAACCAUGCAAGUAGCCUAUAUCUAUGCAUGAGAACUACUAUCUUGAAUUGCAUGAUGUUUUUAAGGUAUACCCAAGAGAGUGCAUUUAUUCAUGACUACCAUGAUUUGUUUGCUGCAGGUUGGACCAUGGUCGUGCUGAUGAUUUUAUCGCAAGUUAUGCAGUUGCUGCCUCAAGCUUGCUGCCU